CGCUGCCCCACGCGGAGCGCGACUGCCGUCACCCGACAGGACUUUCUUCUGGUUCACCCCUGCAUACCGAGUGCUGAGAACGGGCAGCGCAUAGGAGGAACGCAGUCCCUACCUGUCACAUAGAUGCAGGUUGUCUUGCCAAAUAGAACUCCACCUGGGCACCCUGAGAGGGGUGGCUCAGGCCGGGGCAGGCCUGCUGGGCCAGGACCAGUUUGAGACAUUACUCAGUUCUAAGCUCAGAGAGGAGACUUCUUUUCAAGGUCAUUGCAUACGGUUGAGCAAGUUGGCCACUGCACAAACAUGCCCAGCAGAGUUGAUUUUCCAGCAAACCUUCAGAGGGAGAAGGAGAAAUUGUCCCUCGGCCCCUACAGUUUUGGCACUGUGAGCAGGAGACUGACACCAUUCUGCUCUCCUGGGAGCUGCAGUGAAGGAAACCCAGGACCUGACAAACUGGCAGAAGGAACAGAAGCCUAUGAUGCAGAUGUGGCCAAUCAGUGCCCUGGGGCUCCAGCAGCAGUGCAGGAAUGCGGAACUGAUCAUAAAGAUCCAACCAGCAUGAAGAAAUUCUGACACUGGAGGAAGGGCUACCGGGAGAAAACAUUUCUCUUUUCCCCAGCCAGCUGUCAGCUAGCCUGAGAGAAUGUGAGGCUGGGGCUACCAUCUUGCCACUAUGAAGAGAGAACCUGCUGAGCAAGGAGGCAACACAGAGCCAGAUAUGGAGAGAAAUAAGCAGUCUUGGAAUGCUGUUUCAUCCUCUGGAUCAAACCAUUCCUGAAGAUGAGGACGCCAAGGCAUGGGUGGAGGCUCACCCUUGACUGAACUCACAAAGCUAAGCCAGACAAGGCUGCAGCCUGCCCAACACCCGGAGGUAUGCCCACACGGCUCCCCACCCCUGCGACCCAGCUCUGCCAUCUUCCUCCUUAUUUCUGUCUGCCCAAGGGUGUCUCCCCACCUGCCUGCUCCCUUUUCCCCUGAGAAGACCUCAGCUGCAGCCCCUGCCUCCUUGGCCACGCUGGCCUUGUCCACAGCCCCUUGUUCAGCAGCUUGGACGGCUGGAGCCAUCUCCACUCGCCUAGUGGGGCUGCCACCCUUCAGGGCACUGGGCUGUGAGUAGACACCCAGACCGAGGCUGGAGGGGCUGUGUCCCUGAGGCCCUGUUCGUGGGUGCUGUGUGCACCUCUCAAACCUGUUUCCGUGCAUCCCCAAGGCCGACACCCUGGUUAAGCUGCAGACGUCUAGCACCGGCCACAACCUCCUAGCUGGUCUUCCGGCCCUUGGCCUCUCCAGUUCACUGCCAGUCUUCCUCACUUCCUGCUGCCCUGCCUGGUGCCUGAAGCCUCCAGCCUCCUCAGCGCCAUGCCCCUGCAGGCCCCACUUCCUACCCCAGCUCCUCUGCAGGAGGCCUCAGCCUGCCUGACUCCAGCUCAGCCCUCCGGCUUGUCUUAAGUUCAGGUCCUGAGGGAAGCCAGCCUACUUUCAGACCUGCCAGGGGCCUCUGCCACAGGCCCUGUUCCCCUCCCACCGCACCCUGUGGCCCCAGGGUCCUGUCAUCACCACUCACUCUCUCACUACUCAAUUGGAAACCUCACAGGGCGGGACCAGGAGGGCUGUGGCAACCACGCCCUAGUGACAGGGCUGCAGAGCACUUGGUCCCUGGAGUUCUGGGGUAGCGGAAGAGCCCGUAUUUUGAAAGGAGGGAGCUGUUAAAAUUGUGAGUUUGGUGACAUACUGCAUUUCUUAGGAAUGUGGGUUUCCUUGCUUUAAAUCUGUGAUUUUUCAAGCAAGAGCCACUUAGGGUAACCUGGGCAUUACCAUUUUUAUUUUUUUUGAGACAGAGUCUCGAUCUGUCCCCCAUGCUGGAGUGCAAUGGUGCUAUCUCAGCUCACUGCAACCUCCGCCUCCUGGGUUCAAGCAAUCCUCCUGCCUCAGCCUCUUGAGUAGCUGGGAUUACAGGUGCCUGCCACCACGCCCAGCUUGUUUUUGUAUUUUUAGUAGAGACCGGGUUUCACCAUGUUGGCCAGGCUAGCCUUGAACUCCUAACCUCAAGUGAUCCACCCGCCUCGGCCUCCCAAAGUGCUGAGAUUACAGACAUGAGCCAUCAUGCCUGGCCUGGCAUUACCAUUAAGAAAUGAGACUGCUGGAGAGAUGCUCAAAUGAUUUCAGAUAUUUAUUAAGCACCCACAUAAUAGUCCAAAUGGUUCUUCUACAAACAUUUUAAAUUGAAGUAUAACAUAUGCCCUGAGAAAACACACAUCCUCUGUUUGCAAUCUCCCCUGCCUUAGCCAGCAAGCGCUCUGUCUCCAGCUCCCAGGCCACGGAGCCCCAUCUUCCAUGGGGCUAGGUAGCCCCCUAAAGAUGACUUAACACAGCCUGUUCUGCACACAGAGCAGCCAGCUUGCAUUUAGGGCAGUGAUGGGAUGCUGGUACAUGUGUAACAAGCCCUGGUUUGUAGCAUAGUGUAAAUUGCUGUGUAAAUGUUCCCACCAUGAGGGUUGCAGGGUGCCGGCAUGAAUGUGCCGUCUGCAGGAGGUGCACACAUCAGCUCUCAUGAGCCAGCACAAGCCCCUGUGGCACAGCACCUGUUUGGGGCCUGUGUUUUUUUAUACAAAGCAUUAUAAUCGCACACUUUUUUGGGAGAGCAGGGCAACUGAGGAUGCUUUCCGUCUCACAUUCGCUGCAAGGCGAGCCUCCACUGGCAGCACUCUACAGGCAGGACAGAGCCACUGGCAGCACUCUCUACAGCGUCCUUUCUCUUUCCUCCCCUCCCUCCCUCUCUUUUGGUAGAGGAUACAGUUUAAUUUGUGUAGAUUAAAUGUGCCUGCAAUAAACAC
rnacentral:lncRNA from 1 species